AUUGAACGCUGGCGGCAGGCUUAACACAUGCAAGUCGAGCGGAGAUGAGGUGCUUGCACCUUAUCUUAGCGGCGGACGGGUGAGUAAUGCUUAGGAAUCUGCCUAUUAGUGGGGGACAACAUUCCGAAAGGAAUGCUAAUACCGCGUACGCCCUACGGGGGAAAGCAGGGGAUCUUUGGACCUUGCGCUAAUAGAUGAGCCUAAGUCGGAUUAGCUAGUUGGUGGGGUAAAGGCCUACCAAGGCGACGAUCUGUAGCGGGUCUGAGAGGAUGAUCCGCCACACUGGGACUGAGACACGGCCCAGACUCCUACGGGAGGCAGCAGUGGGGAAUAUUGGACAAUGGGCGGAAGCCUGAUCCAGCCAUGCCGCGUGUGUGAAGAAGGCCUUUUGGUUGUAAAGCACUUUAAGCGAGGAGGAGGCUACCUGGAUUAAUACUCUAGGAUAGUGGACGUUACUCGCAGAAUAAGCACCGGCUAACUCUGUGCCAGCCGCCGCAGUAAGAC
rnacentral:rRNA from 1 species